CCCUUAGACGUUCUGGGCCGCACGCGCGCUACACCGAUGCAUUCAACGAGUUUCUUCCUGGUCCGAGAGGAAUGGGUAACCUUUUGAAAGUGCAUCGUGAUAGGGAUAGACUAUUGCAAUUAUUGGUCUUCAACGAGGAAUUCCUAGUAGACGUAGUUCAUCAGACUGCAUCGAUUACGUCCCUGCCCUUUGUACACACCGCCCGUCGCUCCUACCGAUUGAAUGCUCAGGUGAGCCAUUCGGACUUUCAUCAUGCUGGUUUCCAGUUUUGAUGAAGGAAAGUCUUGCGAACCUUAUCAUUUAGAGGAAGGAGAAGUCGUAACA
rnacentral:rRNA from 1 species